UGCGCCGUGGGCCGGAACACAUGGCGGCUUUCGAACAUGAAGGCCAGCGUGUCGCGCAAGGCAUGCGGCGCGAGUUCAGCCUGGCUGGCGCGC
rnacentral:tRNA from 1 species